rnacentral:tRNA from 1 species
GCGGGGAUGGCCUAGCCGGGUAGGGCGGUGGGUUGCUAACCCACUGGCGCAUUUGUGCCGCGGGAGUUCAAAUCUCCCUCCCCGCG